AUUAACCGCCAUAUCACCCUGCAGCCCACUCACUGACGCUAAGCAGGCCUGAGCCUGGUCAGUACCUGAAUGGGAGACCACAUGGGAAAGCUAGGCUGCUGUUGGAA
rnacentral:rRNA from 1 species